AAGCAAAGAAAUCAGGAAUGAAAGUCUGAAAUGCACAUGUAGUCACAGGACUUCCUCUUGAAGAAGCUUGACACCGCCUGGGCUGAAGCUUUGGACGGAUUCGCAGCGGUUUUUACCACACAAUAGUGUCCAGAUUGUCUCACUAUAGCCGUUCAUGUCGAAUCAUAAACUCGCCACUGGAACGAGACACCUCUCUAACACGGAAUAUACAGUUUACUGCUUAGGAUAGAGACCUGUCUUCUGCACUCCAAAAGCGGUGAUGAAGAUGUUGAUGAUGACGGUAUUGGGCAUAAUGCAUGAUGGAUUUCACUCUCACCCAUGUGGACAAAGAGAGCCCCUACGAGCACUUGGAAGAAGAGAGACGCGGCGAUGAGGACGAUGA